GGAGUAGAUGGGUGCUGGUGUGCCCCCUGGUCUUCAAAACCAGUGACAGGGGUGAAGAGCCUCUUAGGUGGGUUCGAUUCCCACAUAUUCC
rnacentral:tRNA from 1 species